AGUUGAUAAUAUUGCUAACUACUGGGGUUCAUUGUUCAGUUUUCAUCCAGGUGCCCUUUCGGCACAGUUGGUUAAAUCACAAAGCGGGAAUACAAGCUAUUUGUCGACAGAUAAAUGAUAAAGUUCGAAUAGGCUUACUUUUACCGCAAAUCAACUCAUAUUACAAAACGUGUCCCGCAGCAGACUAUUUCCUAUUUCCCUGUUUACGUUGCCUUUAACCCCAUCGAGAUUCGUCCUCGUUCUCCAUAUUUUGUGGACCUUGAAUAUUAAGGUGAACAGCAUGUCCCCGAGGAGUGAACAAGAUUUCUGGCGUGUUUUGACACACAUUGCUGAAAAUAUGAAGACAGAUGAGGAAACUGAAAAACUAGGAUUGGAACUGGGAAUCCCACAAUACGAUAUCGAUGGCUCCAGGGUCGCAAACCGACACGGUAUAGUUUACGAAGGGACCUUUAAUAUGCUCAAAAAAUGGUCGAGGCUACAACAUCAGGAAACGAGCUUAAGGAUCUUAAGACAAGCCUUGGAGAGGGUCGGCAGGAUAGACCUAUGUGAAAGCAUGGACCGUGGUGAGAGUACUUCUUCAAUACCUGACGUUGCUGAAACAGAGUCAAGUGCGCUGAAAAACCACAGAGAGGAGCUGGAUAAACUCAAAGAUUAUCUGCAAAAUUAUAGACAGAUAGAAUGCAUAAACAACGAUAAGGCGAGGCCAGAAGUAGUUCAUAUUGGACUGUAUGGCGAAAAAGGUUCUGGAAAAUCGGCUUUAGCU